rnacentral:rRNA from 1 species
UACGUAGGGACCAAGCGUUGUCCGGAAUCAUUGGGCGUAAAGGGUGCGUAGGCGGCGCGGUAAGUCGGGUGUGAAAUCUCGGAGCUUAACUCCGAAACUGCAUUCGAUACUGCCGUGCUUGAGGACUGGAGAGGAGACUGGAAUUUACGGUGUAGCGGUGAAAUGCGUAGAUAUCGUAAGGAAGACCAGUGGCGAAGGCGGGGUCUCUGGACAGUUCCUGACGCUGAGGCACGAAGGCCAGGGGAGCAAACGGG